AAAUCUAUUUGUUGUCAGCCUUACCCCUAAUCCCCUAUUUUAAGAAAAGAUCAUACUCGUGCUGUCAUCUUCAUCUUCUUCUCCUUUUAAUUUUCAGAAAAUUCAAUCAUGACUUCGCUGCUCUCUCUCUUUUUUUCGUAUGCCAUCAUUGAUGAUAUUUUCUCCUAGCUGUAACUUUCGGUCAAAGACAAAAAAAAAUGUUAAGAUUUGUGAAAAAAAAUUUCACCUUCUCCUUAUUGGCCUCAUAAAUUCCUUUGAUUUCAGUUUAAAUUCAAAUUUUUAAAUUCGAAUUUGCCUAUAAUAACAAGAUUUUUCACCUCCCAAGGACAGAAUACAGAUCCCAGAGAAAAAAAAUUGAAAUCAAAGAAUCCAUUUUGAAACUCAUUCAGAAAAAAAUAGUAGUAAUACUCUCUACUGCGAGGUUUGAAUUUUCAAAAAUAACUCUUUGUCUUUUAUGUUUUGGCGUUGAAUUCAAGUUCGGAAAGGAGUUCUGAGUUGGGAAUCCUUGACAAAAAGUCCUUUAGUUUGAUGCUCCGAAGAAGGUUGCGUGCAGCUCAAAAGCUUUCGAAUAGUCUCGAAAUGCUACCACGCUAUCAAAAACAGAAUCACAACAUCGUUAUAGUCGUUUAGGCACUGACUUUACAAUUUUCGAAGACGGACUAAUUUCAGGAUCUAAAAUGAGAAAUAUGGGACCUGCAUCUAGAAUUCCAAAAUUGACCCCAAAAACUAGUCCAACUGUACCCUAAUCUCAAAAAUCUAAUUGGAACAUAGUCCGGGGUUGGAAAACAACACGAAUCGAUCAUGCAACAAGUUCUCACAUUUUCAAGCUAAGAGAAGUAGCAAGACAGCAUCAUUUCAUUGUAAUCUCUCCCAAAAGAAACCCCAACAACCCAAACCAAACAUACUAAGUUGUUCCUUGCGGUAAAACUCACAAGUUAGCCUCAAUAAUUACUAAAAACGGAGCUACGAUGAUCAAGUUACAACCCUCCAAAAGUUUAAGAAAAUUCCAAUUCCUAAAUAGCAAAGGCAGCAGCUAAAAUAGAUAUUUACCUCACACGAAGCUCCUAAACAAGUUUGGGAGCUCACCAAUUGAUUCCCCACAAAAUUUUCUUGAGUUUAGACCUUUGGAUCACCAAAUUUGAUUGAUAAAUGAAGGAGUGGUGAUACAAAGGUCUAGACUCUAGAGAAUUUUGUGGGGAAUCCAUUGGUGAGCUCUGAAACUUGUAUAGGAGUUCGUGUGAGGUAAAUUUCUACUUUAGCUGUUGCCUUUGCUAUUUAGGAAUUGGAUUUUUCUUAAACUUUUGGAGGGUUGUAACUUGAUCAUCGUAGCUCCGUUUUUAGUAAUUAUUGAGGCUAACUUGUGACUUUCUGCAAGGAACAUCGUAGUAUGUUUGCUUUGGGUUGUGGAUUUUUUUUUGAGAGAGAUUACUUCGGAAUGAUGUUGCCUUGCUAGUUCUCAUAAUUAGAAAAUGUGAGAAUUUGUUGCAUGAUUGAUUCGUGUCUUUUUCCAACCUCGGACUAUGUUCCAAAUUGAUUGUUGAGCUUGGGGUGCGGUUUUGGACUAGUUUUUGGGUCAAUUUAAGACACGGGUCCCACAUUUUUCAUUUUAGACUCAAAAUUGGUCCAUCUCCAAAAAUUGUAAAGUUAGUGUUUAAAUGACUAUAACGAUGUUGUGAUUCUAUUUUUGACAGCGUGAUAGUGUUUCGAGGCCAUUCAGAAGGAAAAAGGCUUCGGCAUAGUGAUUUAGAGCACACGUGUUCAGCCUACAGGACUGAGCACCAUCUACCGUCACAGAUAGAUUGAGCCUGUUGUAGUUAGUUUUGGAGACCAGGGUGAGCACUUGACAUUAUGGGAUCAUUUCUGUCUCCUUCAGUAUGGAUGACCCGUCUUUUGGCUUUUUGAGACUGGCUUGUUGUUGUAUAUACUUUUGGUCCAAUUUUGGGACUUGUACUUGUCUUUUAUUUAUAGUAGCUCUGUACUUGUAACCUUUAUGUUCUGGGAGGGAUCCUUAAUUGUAUUUAUCAUGUUUGGUUUGCUUCCUCUUAUUUAGUCUAUUUAUUUUAG